ACUUCAAGUCCACUGCGAGUAGGAAUGGACUCGGGGAGGCCCCAAACACCACUCUGGUCAUCCGCAGAACACGCAGCUCUCCAUCCUCUUCUCCGCUUGGUGGGCCUGUGAGCCACAGAAGACACUGAGGAGAUCUGGAUUCAGGUUUGGUCCUGUGAGCAGACAGUCAUUGAGGGAUGGACUGCCAUCUUCAUGAGACGACGCAUCAAACACCACUCUCAGCUUUGUGGUCACUUUGUCUUCUCUGAGUACUGCGUGGUGAGGUAAGUAGUAUUUCACGUUGUCUGUACUUGCGUUGUCUUUUGGCACAUCCUCUGCAAUGUUCUGCUGUAAAUAGUCCUCCACUACUUCAUUGUAUCUGCUGUAGAAUGUAACAUCCUUCUUCAGU